rnacentral:rRNA from 1 species
UACAGAGGGGGCAAGCGUUGUUCGGAAUUACUGGGCGUAAAGGGCGCGUAGGCGGCCUGCUAAGUCGGAUGUGAAAUCCCCAGGCUUAACCUGGGAACUGCAUCCGAUACUGGAUGGCUUGAAUCCGGGAGAGGGAUGCGGAAUUCCAGGUGUAGCGGUGAAAUGCGUAGAUAUCUGGAGGAACACCGGUGGCGAAGGCGGCAUCCUGGACCGGCAUUGACGCUGAGGAGCGAAAGCCAGGGGAGCAAACGGG